AUUUUCUGAGAACUAUCAGAUUGGACUUUGUUCAUAGGAACACGAGAGAUCACGCAUCAUUAAUGUUGUAGAGAAGUGUGUGAUUCAUUCGUCCCGUGCAGAGAGGGCCCUGCUCAUCGAUGAAGUCUGCUGUCAGAAGGAUGGCCCUCACAGCGCCCUCUACACCAUGAUGAAGGACCAGUAUGCAAAUUAUGUGGUGCAAAGGAUGAUUGACAUGGCUGAGCCCGCCCAGCGCAAGAUCAUUAUGCACAAGAUUCGGCCCCAUAUUGCCACUCUCCGUAAAUAUACAUAUGGAAAACACAUCCUGGCUAAGUUGGAGAAGUACUACAUGAAGAGUGGAUCAGACCUAGGCCCCAUUGGGGGCCCCACCAAUGGCCUAAUUUAGGGGCCUGACACCCAACCCCUCGCACCUUUCCCUCAAAACCACAUUUGUUAUGGGCAUCUCCUCCACCGUGGAGUUCUCUGUCAUAGCCUUUAGGGAUUUUACCAAAAAAAUGAAAGGAAAAGAAGUGGGCUUCACCUAAGAACGCUGAGACGUCUGACCAGUGCCCUGAUGCAGUCUCUGUUGACCCCCACCCCCCACCCCCACACACACACCAGAGAAUGCAUGGUCUGUAAGCUGUUUCCUGGGUAAAGCACAACACUCUUGUUUAUGAUGGAAUUGAUGUAACUGACUGUUUCCUUUUGUUUUCUAGUAAAUAACUUGUACAUUUUUUUUUAACUUGUACAUUCUCUGUAGAAAAAGAAAUGUUUGCUGAAAAUUUACAGUUCUUACAAUUUACACCAGCAAGUGACUUUAUAAGGCCAAACUGAGUGAUCCUUUUUAAUUAUUUUCCUAUUUUUGUUUUUUAUAUCCAGACUUCACAAUGGCACAGUUAAGAAGUGUGGUACGUUUAAGCCCUGUUUUAGCGCUAUGGUGCACAAGCCAAAGCUGCUGAUGAAAAAUAAUGAGCCAGUCAGAUUGAUCUUCAAGAAAUUUGCUAGUAGACAAGUCUGCCUUCCCAUUAAGUUAGUUGGAUUAAGAUAUCCAAUACCAAUUAUAGAGCCUUGCUGCCUAGAGUUUGCUGCCUUCAAAUGGGAGUGGUAUCAUUCGGAAGUGGUUUGACGUGGAUGCACUUGUCAUCUCUUUUCUUUCCCUCCCUCAUGUGCAUUCUACUAACUGCUCCAUCUUUUGUGUUUUUUUUUUUGUUUUUUUUAAGAGCAUGCAUGUGGUUGCAAUAUACUCUUCAUCCCACUGACCAAGUCUGUUCCACACAGCUAUUGUCUCGGUUCACUAUUGUGUUUAGAAUCAUGUCUAAGGACACCAGAUCUCUUGCCAUUUUACACAUCUCUGAGACCGGUACCUUGGUAGACAGAUGAAACCUGGAAUAAUUUUUCUAUUUUGGGGUGUGUUGGAGAUAUGUGAGGCAUGAAGGGGUGGGGAGAUUUGGCAUGCUUUGUCUGGAUUUAAUGUUUUAAAAGAAUGAUUUUUGUAAUGUUUGUGGAACAUCUGUCUAUCGAGUUGUUUUUUUGAACACUGCCCUAGAAACAGUAUAGUUAUGUACUGAUUAUCAUCUCUUUACAUUGUAAUAGCUUAGGCAAAAUGUAUAGCAUCUUUAUGUACAAGUAAAUAUUAAAUCGUUGCUGUUUUUCGGGUGUGGGGGGAGACGGUGCUUAAGAUUUAGAUGGGCAAAGUCGAGAGGUGAGUGGGCGACGGUCCCUGUUCUUGGUGUCAUCCCAGGAUGUUUGGCUUCAGAACUAGAAUAACAGAAUUGAUUUCAUUCAACGUGAGAUGUUGUGGGGUCGGGUCAAAUGUGUGGUGUUCAUUGGUGUAAAUUGAGAAUGUGCAGGAAGUAUACUUUUUCAGAGAAUGGACAUGGGGCUGCCGUCUUCUGCUGCACAUUUUUUCUGUAUGGCUUAUAUAUUAAUGGCUUUCGUUCUUUUGCUUCAUAUGAAUAAAUGUAGAAUACAUGUAGUAUAUGUGGAGUUAAGUGUAAGUUUAUUAGUUGAAAAGAAGAAAAAUCUAGUUGUAAUGUUGGACAGGCUAAAUUGCGUAUUGAUUUGCUUUUAUCUUGUCUGUACAGUUGUACAUUUGUAAACGUUAAUGCUGUAAAUGGAAUGUCUUUUACACUUUUUGGGAAAGAAAAAAAUUAGCAAAAUGUGCAUUUUGAUGUGUGAAUAUUCAUCACUCCUUUCCCUUUGAAUAUAAUGUAUACAGUUUUCUUUGAACAAGGAUUAUUUUAAAAAAAAAAAAAAAAAAAAAAAAGAAAAAAAAAAAACUUUUUAUGCAUCAAUCUCAAGAUGGUUUUGUUUUUAAUCAGUUUUUGGAAAAGGUCAGCCUCUUUAUGUACCUGGAGCAGUGACACCUUCUGUUGACAUUGUCAUUUUGACUUGUGGCAGUUGAAUAAAAUAAUUAAAAAAUUAAUGAAUUAAAAAAAAAAAAAAAAAAAAAAAAAAAAACAUGGGGCUGUCUUUGGUUCAACCUGCUACCAUGGAAAUUUCACAAGACACAAGAAUUAUUUUUGUAUAAAGGAGUGCUGUAUUUUGGAACAGCCACUAACUUGUAAGCAAAAUAAUUGUAAGAUAUUGUCAAUUAUAUAAAUAUGAACAUAUGAGUUUUGUCACACUGUCAAAGUCAUGUACAUUUUCAGGUGGCCUUAUGUACAUUUCCAGAUGUUAGAUGAGGAAAACAUUUUUUUUUUUUUUUUUUUUUUGGGAAGCAGAAUUGUGGCUAUGUAUGAUUAAACUGUUCUUCUAACAUUUGAUUUUGUUGUCUGAAGCUUUUAUUAUUCACUCUGAAAACGUCUCAGGGAACCAUGGUUACAUAUGUAAGCUGAGACAUUCCCUUUCAAAAGGGAAGUCAACUCUGCGUUUACCGCUAUGGGGAACGAUAUACCCACAGCGCCAUGCUGGAGCAGAGUGCAUGACAAAUGUCUGGACAAACGUCCAGAGAAAAGCCGGGAGCAACUCCCCCCAAGUCUGUCAGUGACAGCAUUCCCUAUGGCCAACAGCCCAAGCUGAGCCUAAAAGAGGCCUUCCGCAGAAAGCCUUCCAAGGCUGCUCAAGGCAUCUGGGACUGUCGUGGCAGAUUUGAUGUUUCUUUGUCCCUUCAGAUCUGGUCUCGAAGAAAAACUCGAAGUUUCAGGUCUCAGAAGUAUUUAACUUUAUUGUCAAGCAACAAAGUGAGAUGCCAGCUCUGCAUCUGAGGCUCCCUUAGCUGUGGCACAGUUUUAUACAUUUUUCUUAUCUCUUAAAAAACACACCAAAGUAAUAUCAUUGGCUGGUAAUAUUCGCUCUUGUUUGACCUGUACAGUUAAAUAGGCCGAAAGGGCCUCACAACACUUCUAGCUUUUAUAGUAAGCAAACAAAUGCUACAGUUGUUUUCUAUAGGAUGGAUAAAAUACUCCAUCAGGACCAGCAAUCUGUGGGAAGUGGUCUCUUAAAGGGAAUGUGGCCAGGAAACCAAACGGAACCCCGGCCAGUCACUAGAGGGGAACAAAGUCACCCCCAACGCCACCAAGGAGGCCGUACUAAUCUAAUGAAAGCCAAACAUAGUCUGGGCCAGCCCUGUCUGAUACACAGAAUCUCCAAAGUGCAUUCUUCAAAGAAGAGAGCAGAUAAGAGCGACUGCGAAAGAGCAGUAAGCAACUCAAACCCACGCGCAGAGAUGGGCAUCCUGGAGAGCGGAACUCAGCUGAGCACUAUAAACCCUCGUAUUGAGGGGAGUAUAAUCCACUCGUCCUAGGAUCUACUCAGUGUCUGAUUAAAGCACUGAGGAGGCUGUGCGCUAGAAAAACCCUGGUACAGGGGAGCACAAACCAGCCUAGGGCUAGUCUGAACGGGAGACUUCAUAGAAGUCUAAAAUCAAUGACCAGCUUAGGGAGCUAAGCACAAUUACGCAGUCAACCCAAAGGGAAGUAUGAAGCUCAACCUAACAGACAGACCAUACUGUAGGCACAUAGUCAUGAUGCCGACCAGAAGGGGCCUACAACAUAACUAAAGUUCUUACAAAUUAACUGAUAUCACACCAAGAACCCAAUUCAUAUGGUGGUAUUCAGGGGAUGGCCCAUAAGGCCAUUCGACUGAAAACAUAGCAUGCUGAGCGCAUGUCCAACCAAGUAAUUAGGCAGCUGUGAGUGCCCACGAAACAGCCCGUCCAACACAAUACAACGAGCAGUGUACUCGGUAAAAGCACCUUUCUACUCUUUAAGCAAGAGGAGUACAGCGUACGCCAUCACGCGCUAAAGAAGGUCCCAUGGGCCUAUAACCUCAGCAGACACGUGGCAUCAGCUCGUGGCAGUGUUAUCAAGGAUCAGGCUAAACAGACCGACUACAAAGGAGGUCAUCAGUCAGCCCGAGCCCUGGCCAGCCAAUGACUCAAAUCCCUUUUUACUGUUUUCAGUAAAAUUGUCAGAGAAAACACUCAAAAAGGUACAUGCCAGCAUGCUCCCAAAGGAGGCCCUUAAGGUCUACCCGUCACACACGGCAUCAGCUAGCGGCCACUUAAGUUCUAGGAGCAAAAUAGAACCGAGUAACAAACAAGGUAGCUAGCUCAAGGAAGCAAAUGCAUAAAACCAGACAAACAGUUGGUUUUAACACAAGAACUCACCUUGAGAGGCAAGCCACUCAGAAAAUGUACUCAGUAAAAGCACCUUUUACUCUCUAAGCAAGAGGAGUACAAAGCCAAACUCCAGCGUGACACAUAGGAGGCCUGCGAAGGCCUACAACCCGUAAACACGCGGCGUCAGCUAGUGGCAAUCAUGACCCAUCCAUGGUGAUGAGUCACAUAGAAAUCCACACAAAGCUGUGCCAACAUGCAGACUGAAAGGAGGCCCUGGUGGGGCCUUCGACCUCCAUGAACACAUGGCAUCAGCCAGUGGUAGCUUCAUGACUAAAACCAGCCAGCAGGCAAAGUACUCGAGAAAACCCUUAGGUAAGAGAAGUACACACUGCUCUGCAGAACUCUACGAAAGGCCUGACCUAGGGCCUACUCAUACAGAGGUGGGCGUGGCCGAUGGCGGCGUGAGUCAUAAGACAAGACUCAACCAUGGAAUGAGUCUAGAUAUAACCAACCCAGCUGGACCAACACCAAGGCUACAAAGGAGGCCUGGCCUACUACUUUUAGCACCAUGUGGCACCAACCAGUGGUCAUAUAUAAGACCCAACCUCAAAAAAGGGACCAGCACUAAACCCUAAAGUUUACUGAGGGUAACUAGCUUACACAAUCUGAGCUUAGGUGUACACAUUCCAACAGGCAAUGUACCCAGUACACAUAAUAUGCUAUCAUGGUCUAGGGAAGGCCUGCAAGGCCUGCUACCUCAAACAACAUGAGCAUAAGCCUGAGGCAGUGCUAAACUAAGUGAGAAAACUCACGAUCGUAAACCAACAGCGCCCAGAAGCAAGCUGUAUUAAGAGAGAGGCUACCAAAAGAGAGCCAACAAUCUAACAGCAUAUGAAAAAGAGCUGCUGUGGUCAUGAUCGACUGGGAGCUACCAGAGAUCAUACUAUUCUAACCAGAAUAAUUCUCUCUACACUCAACCUGAGUGUGCAAUCCAACAGGUGAUACACUCAGUGAAACACAAACCCUAACCGGGGAGUACAACAAAACACCAUGUUCAUAGAUAGAGGCUAAUCACAGCCUGCUAUCACAGAAACAGGCGUUAACCUGUGGCAGCACUAGAGUAAGCUCACAUAUAUUGAAAGUAUGUAGGGCUAAAGCUUAGAACCCAAAGCAAGCGCAAAUGCUUUGUAAUACAUGCCAUCCAAACAGGAUAAAUGCUUUCACAAAACAGAUCUGAGAUCUGCAUUGAACCCUUGAGACUGAAAGCUAAAAACAUUUAGCACCGUAUGCUCAAACUUGAAUAUAAUUCAAGGGGCUCAUGUGAAGAUAUUAUAAGCAUGACAAAAGUUCUAAAAAGUGGGGCCUAGCAGCACCGCAUAACUUAUCUCCUCAAAGAUAAGGGCCUACCACCUGGAAAAACAGCACCAAGAAGGCUAAUAACAGCCUAUAGCCUUAGCUGUUAACCUCAGCCAUAGCACCUACAUUUUCACAUCGAAGGGGAAAUGGGCAUACGGCCAACAACUCCCUCAGGAGGAGGCCAGAACUAGGAACUACACAACCUCACAGGGAUAGUAAUAAUAAGGGUGAUGUAGCAAACAAACACCUAAACCUAGCUCUAGCCUAGCCGCUAGCUAAGGCCUACUGGGCCAAGCAAAGCUUGGGCUUCAUUUUGAAUCCUUCAAAUAUGAGGAGAAAAUGAAGCACUGCAAGCAAACAGUGUCAGGCAGCCGAUAAGCCGUCCUGCACACAAAUAACUGAAGCGACGAAUGCUAACUCAAACCAAACUAAAGUAUUAGCUGAGAAGCUAUUCUAACAUAGGAGGCUACAAAAUAGUGGCCAUAAAGCGGCCUGCAUGUUUUGAAAACUAGCCAACCUAAUGCUACAGUUAUUUUGCCCAAAAGAACCCCUUCUAACUUUACUGACUACAUGCUCAGGAAAGCUAUACAGGAAAAACAAGGUCUACACUUUUUAUAAACAUAAAAAUAUAGACCCAGUUUACCUUGCUGCGGCUCGUAGAACGAAGAUUUUCCCUCCUUAUUAUAAUGCAUGAAGAAGGAUGAAAUCAAAAGUUCUUUUAAGCCUAAAAGCACUUUCACUAUCAAGCCAGAAGGUGGCCUUUAGAAAAAAUAUUAUCAAAAGGCCAGCCGACAGCCUAACUGUAAAAGAAGCACCUGAGCAAGUAGAAAGAUCUCAAACUCAGGAGGCGGAGGAAGAAGGGGCGAGGGCAAAUGCAAUGUUGCCCCCGCAACGAGAGGGAAUCGAUCACAGACGCUAUUGGUGUACGUGAUCAAUCACCUCCUCAAACCUGCUUCUUCCUCCUCGAGCCCAGCCAUUUCUGCGUCUGCUCUGAAAAGAGGAGGUGCUUGAGCCAACCAUACUGGACCUCUGGCCCUGUCUCAGAGCCUCAGCUCAAGAUGGGCCAGCCUCCUGAUAAACUACAUACUCAGAAAAACUAUAAAGGAAAACAAGGUCUUAUUUUAAAACCAUAAAAUAGACCCAUCUCAUAUUCCUGCGGCUUCAUUUUUUUUUACAUGAAAAAGGAUAGAAUCUAGGGUUCUUUUAAGCCUAAAAGAUCCUCUCAUUAUCAAACCGAAAAAGUGGGCCGACAGAAAUAAUUACUAUGGGCCCAGUCUGAUCAUAAGAAGUAUCUGAGCAUGAUUUUAUAUAUAAUAUGAUA